rnacentral:siRNA from 1 species
UGACAUAGGUGGCCAAAUC